rnacentral:rRNA from 1 species
GAUGAACGCUGGCGGCGUGCUUAACACAUGCAAGUCGAACGGUGAAGCAGAGCUUGCUCUGUGGAUCAGUGGCGAACGGGUGAGUAACACGUGAGCAACCUGCCCUGGACUCUGGGAUAAGCGCUGGAAACGGCGUCUAAUACUGGAUACGAGACGUGGCCGCAUGGUCAACGUUUGGAAAGAUUUUUUGGUUCAGGAUGGGCUCGCGGCCUAUCAGCUUGUUGGUGAGGUAAUGGCUCCCCAAGGCGUCGACGGGUAGCCGGCCUGAGAGGGUGACCGGCCACACUGGGACUGAGACACGGCCCAGACUCCUACGGGAGGCAGCAGUGGGGAAUAUUGCACAAUGGGCGAAAGCCUGAUGCAGCAACGCCGCGUGAGGGAUGACGGCCUUCGGGUUGUAAACCUCUUUUAGCAAGGAAGAAGCGAAAGUGACGGUACUUGCAGAAAAAGCGCCGGCUAACUACGUGCCAGCAGCCGCCGCCG